GCCUGGGUGGCUCAGUCGGUUGAGCGUCCGACUUCAGCUCAGGUCAUGAUCUUGCAGUUUGUGGGUCCAAGCCCCACAUCAGGCU
rnacentral:tRNA from 1 species